AAUAUAAACAGACAGUAUAUGCAGUUUAUAUGGCUUUCAAAAACAGUGAUGUGCUGAGCAACAUGAAUUCAGUGCUCUACUUUCCCAAAAACCUGAGCAAAUUAUUCUAGACAGGCAGUUUUAUGUAAUGCUUGUUAUGAAAGCCAGCUACAAACGUAUUAAUAUUUUAAAGUUGUUUUUCAUUUUUUUUGUCUCAAAUCAAUGAAUCUUCCAUUGAAAGUGACCUUAGAAGUGUUUACACUCAAUUUCUGAAAAAUUGUGUAUUUGUUUGUUGGCUUAAAAUGCCACUUUUUUAUCUCUGCAAUUUGUUGCUAAGUUGCCUUAAAAGCAGACAGGUAAUAAAUUGCUUCCCAUACAAAGUUGCUUCAGUAAACCCUAUUAGAAGAAUACUACACAGCAUUCUCAUUUUUUGAACUGAAUGUCACCUUUCCUUGUAAAAAGUAUAUUUUUCAUUGAGUGUAUUUCCUACGUAGAAGAACAGGAAAACAUUUCAACAGACUGAUUGAUUAAUUUAAUUUUUCACUUGGUUCAUGUGAAUUCUGAUUCUAGGUACAAAAUACAUUAUCUAUUUAUAUUUAAUUUAAACCCUAUAUGAAGAGCUAAAAAGCAGCCUGCAAGAUUCCUGCCUGAUUCUGACUCAUUUUUUGCAGCGAUUCCUCCCUGAUGUGAAUUGCACUAACAGAUCCUAUUUAUCUCUCAUACUUGUCUUGAAGGAUACGUUUAAUUUCUUCAGGGAAUUACUUGGGCUGCAGAUGGUUCACAAAUGCUGCCUCCUGACGCCUGCUGACUCUUUCGUAAAUAUGGACUGUAGCUAGAGUACUAUAUUAAUUACUGAAAGAAACUGGGCCAUAUCCAAAGCCCUGGCCUCACUGAGGCCUUAGAAAAAACUUCCAUUAACACCAAGUUAAGAUCAGAAAAAUGGGAUUCUGUAGCAUAAGAAUGGAGUUGUUCCUAACACAAUGGAUGGAGAUGAGGUUUCCUAUGGCAGACCUAAAUUACUGGGAAAGUACAACUACCAGGUGUAUUAAUAAUCAUUCAUUUGCUCCAACAUACAAAAGAAUUGUGGUUGCAGCAACUUGUUUUUUUAGUUUUAAAACCAAAAAUGUAAGCUAGAGUGGAAUCUCUGAAUCAGGGAAAAUGUCAUCUGACUGUGUUUGACAUAAAUGAUUAAUCAUUUGACAAGCAUCUGGAAUUUAUGUUACAUGUAUUUGGUAAGUCACCAUAUUCUUACAUUUCCCCACCACUUUCUGAAUGACAUUCCAAGAGUAGCAUUCAACUUUCUUUUAGAAUAGGCUGUACUUCCUCUAUCCAUGUAUGCAUCCCAUGAGAAAACAACUGAGGUAAAGCAUAUCAUACAAGAAUAUAAGUGAUACUACAGAUAAUAUAGCUUAAUAAAUGAUGUGGUUUAUUUUUGUAUAAAUUAUAAAGCUAUGGAUUUUCUGAUAAACACUGAUGAUAAGGCUUUGAUGUGCAUUUUAUUAUCCUUGGAAAUGUGGGCGUUUCUAAUUGAAAUAAACACUGAAAAGUAGACAGGAUGCAGAAUUUUAGAAAAUGUUGUCUUCCCCUCUCACAGUGCAACAAACUUUAAAAGAUUUUAAAACUGCCUGCCAUGUGGUUUGUUCUGUUUAAUUAAAUCAAUAUCAGAGUAAAGACCCAGGAAUUCCAAGAAUUUUUGAACAGGUCAUUUAAUUCAUCUGUUUCUCCACUUGUUACUGUCUUAUCAGUGUAUUACUGAUAGCUGCCUUUGAACCAACAAAAUAAAAUAGAGUUUGAAUUGUAAAAAGCUUGAUGAUAUUACAUAAAAACUGGUAAGUAAAAAUAAAUUUUUAUGUCAAAUAUGUACUAAAUAUAAUAUGUAGUAGACACUACAUAGUAAUUAAUAAUAACCAAUAAUAAUAAUGCAAGGCACAACAAUCCUUUAAAGACCCAGUGUCUUUUAUUAUUGCCAGUAGAUCUGGGUGUACAAGAGAAGAUACUCCAGCUACUUUCUUUUUAAUGGAAAAAGUGUGUUGCCAGCCUGGACACUUAUCAGUGAGGCUGUUUAGAUACAGACUAACCUGAAGAAAUGCAGAACUGGGCACAUACUUCUGCCAUGCUCCAGAAGACCAUAAAGCCUCUACAACUAUGCUUCAAGGUUUAACACCUUCUUUCUUGCUUCUUGCCUUGAUAAUUGUCAUGGAAAACGCAACCCAAGACAGUUGGUCUUCCAAGUUGUCAAUCCUCACAUAUUAAAUGCAUAGCUGUUAGGUCUGUUGUGUUUUAGGUGUAAGGGAGCAAACACAAAUGUCAUACAAAUCAAAAAAUAAUUAAUGUCCCGUCCCAAAAUGAACUCAGCCUUCACAAUGUCCGUAUCUUGCAAGAGCCACUUUUCUUUAGUCAUUGUUCAUACUUACACUUAUCCAGUUGAAAUCUGAAGAUGGAGAGAAGCAGAUCCAUGUUAAACUUCUUGCCUGUAACAUACAGCUGAAGAACACAGUGGUUAAAACUCAAAAAGGCUGCUGUCUGUCAGACUUCCCUCUUGAACAGUAAACCUGGGAGCUUGUGUUUGCUUUUUUUGGCUGUAAAAAAAUCACCUUAAGCUGAGCUCAAGUAAAAUGCAUUUUAAAAAAUACACUUUUUUUUUUCUCCCCAGCAUUACUGUUUAUAAGGAAAUGAAGACUGUUUAGGUUAGGGAAUGCAAUCCAGGAGAGAUGGCAGAGGCUUUUUUGUGGCUGUGACUAGAUUAAUAUUAGAGUGGCUAUAACUCUUACAUGAUCAGCUUCCUUUAAGAGAUAGUGGUAUUUGGAUGAAUAAGCUAAAAGGCCUGGAAGGAGAUGAAAAUGAACAAUGCUGCACUGUGGUGAGCAGCAACAGGUGCCCAGGCAUAUCCUAGGGGACAUACUGACCUCUGACAGUUUACUGCUGGCUUUUUUACUGGGGUAUAUAAUUUUUCUUUGCCUUCAUCACAAUCAUCUUCUUCCCCACUUUCCCUAACCAUUUUACUGUGCAUAUUUUUGUUAUUUUUUCAUAUAUUUUUAAUACAUGUAUUUUUGGUGACACUCUGAGUAUCACAGAAAAAUCUACUGUACAGGACCCAGGACUACAAAGCCUGCAUGUUUGCCCAUCCCACAAGGAAUGACUUGAAGCUGGAAUACCUCUGUCUAUCAGUUUUUAGAGUGGUUUCAAGAAGAUAAAGACCCUCUCUAUAAAGCAGCUGAGGAAGCCAUUUAGCCUGCAAGGCAGACAGGACAUAUCAAUUAAGAAUGACCUAGUUUCACUGAACUGGUGGAGAUUACGGGUAUUCUCUGAACUAUGGUGGAAAGCAACCACGAAUCAUACUGCUCUGCUUGGGAAAACUACCCAUGAGAAGUGGGAUUAAUUUUGGCCUGAAAAAUGAAGUUUUGUCAGUUUGGACAACUAUCUGACAGAGACAGCCUGGUCUGUGCCUGUGGUACCCGCAUCUUACCAAGCAGCAGGUGCUGAGCUGAGGGUCACAAAGCUAGAUGCAAGUAAUAGAAAUAAAGAGUGGCUGGUCAUUUUAGCUUCCUGAUAGAGGGAGAGCAAUACAAAAGCGGGAAGUAUGAGGUAAAAACCACAAACAAAGCCUGGAGGGAUGAUUUGUUAUGGUUUAGGAUCAUAUGAGAAGUCUUGAAAGAGUGUCAACAAAAUCUGGGCGUGGUAAAAGUGAGUCCUAGCAGAAGGUCUUAAAGCAGGCAACAAAACAAUAGCAGGAGUUCAUGUGGUCUAGACCAAUGGCCAAAUACAGGAAACCACAAAGUGUGCUUGCUGGCAGAGAGGAAAAAGUGCCUGAGAGCGGAAAAUCGCUGUGACGGCCAAGCAAUAUCCAGGAGGGACCCAGACACUUC
ensembl:lncRNA